GCAGCUUUUGCUUUGUCUAGUAAACUGUCUUUAUUUCAACCUAUGAACUUUCACACUUGUACUUUUCUGAUUCUCUCCCCCAUCCCAUUUGAGAAGAGGGAGCAAGUGGCUGUGUGGUGCUGAGAUGCCUCCUGGGGUUAAACCACAACAGUUCUUUUCAUCCCCCAACAUGGGGCUCAAAGGGUUUGAAAUAAUGACAGUUUUGACUGGACUGUGGAGUAUGCUGACCCAGAUUUAUAGAUGUAAUAACUGUUCAGUUGUUAAUUAUAGGCUUCCAUGUUUGUGAGAGGGCUUGCUUUAAUGUCUCUUAGAGUCCAGUGCGUGUUAGUGGCUGCUGUUCUUUCUGCUGUUUGCUUUAUUUCUUAUCUUGCUUUGCUGUAUCUUGGAACAUUUUGAUAAUAGCUAUGACUAUGUUCAUAGGCUGGUCACAGAGUGACUGUGAUUUGUGAAUGAGUCCAUAUGGGAGCAUGUACACUCUGAAGCAUCUCUGGCCAUGGGCAUUUGGAUGAUCAGGAUUGCAAGUAUGAGGGUCCAGGGCACUGUCGGCCUUGCCUUUCCCUGCCCAUACGCUAGGCUCAGAUUCCAAGAUCAGUCCAGGACCAUCAUCCCCAGAUCCAAGUCAAGAGUCACAGAAAAAGCAACAACAACAACAAACCACCAAAUCCAGGGUCUGAUAAAUCGCAGAAGAAUCAGGAGCCAAGAGAAGAGAAAGAACCAUGUUCAAGGAAAACAAGAUUAAAGUAGAGCUCAUCCUGGCAAAUAAGUCAUUUUGGCGUGAAUACCAAGUGUUACGGUUCUGAGAUUAUCGUAAGAGCAGAUAAUGCCAAAAGAAAGGUUAAAAGGAGAAAGAGACAUCUGUUAAAGCCAGUAAAGGAAAAAUCUGGGGAUUAGAAUACAGAAAACGCUAUUUAAUGGCUCAGGGAUUCACUGAGAGCAUUUACCUCUUCGCUUCAUAAAACAGCCCAAUGACAAAUUUGUUCCAGUCAUCAGUGUGGUCAGCUAGGCUGCUACGCAACUAUUGCCUUGUAUGGCCUGGCUGGUUGUUAUUAUGGGAUGUUCUGAUUGCACUCUCCUUGCAACUGUUACACUUUAUUUUCAGCCACCAGGGCCCUUUCCCUGGUCUGCCUUGUGCCUACCUAAUCUUAUUAAACACAGUAAGACCCAUGUAAUGGAGCAGAAGGUAAGAAGGUACGGAAG
rnacentral:lncRNA from 1 species